rnacentral:rRNA from 1 species
CACGUAGGCACCAAGCGUUGUCCGGAUUUAUUGGGCGUAAAGAGCUCGUAGGCGGUUCGGUAAGUCGGGUGUGAAAACUUUGGGCUUAACCCAAAGCGUGCAUCUGAUACUGCUGUGACUAGAGUUCGGUAGGGGAGUGGGGAAUUCCUAGUGUAACGGUGAAAUGCGCAGAUAUUAGGAGGAACACCGGUGGCGAAGGCGCCACUCUGGGCCGAAACUGACGCUGAGGAGCGAAAGCGUGGGUAGCAAACAGG